GACUACAUGAAGCUGGAAUCGCUAGUAAUCGCAGGUCAGCAUACUGCGGUGAAUACGUUCCCGGAUCUUGUACACACCGCCCGUCACACCAUGGGAGCCGGAAAUGCCCGAAGCCAGUGACCCAACCUUAGGGAGGGAGCUGUCGAAGGUGGAGCCGGUAACUGGGGUGAAGUCGUAACAAGGUACC
rnacentral:rRNA from 1 species